rnacentral:rRNA from 1 species
GUGGUAAUGCCGGAUGCUCCAGUUGAUCGCAUGGUCUUCUGGGAAAGCUUUCGCGGUAUGGGAUGGGGUCGCGUCCUAUCAGCUUGACGGCGGGGUAACGGCCCACCGUGGCUUCGACGGGUAGCCGGCCUGAGAGGGCGACCGGCCACAUUGGGACUGAGAUACGGCCCAGACUCCUACGGGAGGCAGCAGUGGGGAAUAUUGCACAAUGGGCGCAAGCCUGAUGCAGCGACGCCGCGUGAGGGAUGGAGGCCUUCGGGUUGUAAACCUCUUUUAUCGGGGAGCAAGCGUGAGUGAGUUUACCCGUUGAAUAAGCACCGGCUAACUACGUGCCAGCAGCCGCGGUAAUACGUAGGGUGCAAGCGUUAUCCGGAAUUAUUGGGCGUAAAGGGCUCGUAGGCGGUUCGUCGCGUCCGGUGUGAAAGUCCAUCGCUUAACGGUGGAUCCGCGCCGGGUACGGGCGGGCUUGAGUGCGGUAGGGGAGACUGGAAUUCCCGGUGUAACGGUGGAAUGUGUAGAUA